rnacentral:rRNA from 1 species
UGGGGAAUAUUGGACAAUGGGCGCAAGCCUGAUCCAGCCAUACCGCGUGGGUGAAGAAGGCCUUCGGGUUGUAAAGCCCUUUUGUUGGGAAAGAAAAGCAGCUGGUUAAUACCCGGUUGUUCUGACGGUACCCAAAGAAUAAGCACCGGCUAACUUCGUGCCAGCAGCCGCGGUAAUACGAAGGGUGCAAGCGUUACUCGGAAUUACUGGGCGUAAAGCGUGCGUAGGUGGUUGUUUAAGUCUGUCGUGAAAGCCCUGGGCUCAACCUGGGAAUUGCGAUGGAAACUGGGCGGCUAGAGUGUGGCAGAGGAUAGUGGAAUUCCUGGUGUAGCAGUGAAAUGCGUAGAGAUCAGGAGGAACAUCCGUGGCGAAGGCGACUGUCUGGGCCAACACUGACACUGAGGCACGAAAGCGUGGGGAGCAAACAGG